UUAUUUUGAAUUCAUGGCAUUGUGUGCGCAGCUGUUUGCAGUCCUCCCAGCUGGACCGCGACCUUCCAGGGCCGGACUCCCUUUUUAUCCCUGGGCCUGAAACAUAAGCUCUCAAGUGUUUGACAGGUGAACAGACAACACCGUGCUGUGUUUGUAGAAGACACAAGGGUGAAUAUGGUGUUCCCCACCUGGGAAAACAAAGGAGGAGUAAGGUGAAAAAUUAUAUGAAAUAAUAAUUUUGGAAGAAACACAUAAGAAAUGAGUGGCCUGCAGAAAAGAUUACAGCAGUGUGUGGGAAACCAGGAGCUUCUGGCCAGGACUUGGAACCAACCCAAACGUCCAUCGCCUGGUGACUGGAUAAUGAAGAGGUUGUCAAUUUAUGCCAUGGAAUACUACUCAGCCACGAAAAAGGAUAAAAUGAUGCUAUUUGCGGCAACAUGGAUGGUCACAGAGAUAGUCAUUCUGAGUCAUGUAAGUAAGCCAGAAUAGAGAAAAAUGCCAUAUGAUACCACUUCCAUGCGGAAUCUAAACAAAAGACAGAAAGAAUCAAAACGACGAAAGAGGAACAACCCAAACACAUAGAGAAACAAACUAAUGGUUAACAGGGAGGGAAGGGGGUGGGAAGGGGUAAAUAUGGGAAUUGGAAAAUUGCCCCUCUUGGGGAGGGAUGGAAAUGGUAGCUAUCUUGAUGGUGGUGAUGGUUUUCGGGGUGUAGACGUCUAUGAAAAUUCAUCAAAUACUA